CACCUGAUUUCGAUUACUCACUGACCAUUUGUUGCCUCGUGAGCAUAUCCAAAUCGGGAGCC
rnacentral:pre_miRNA from 1 species